CAACCACCUUGGCCUCCCAAAGUGCUGGGAUUACAGGGGUUCCUGUUGAGAUUAAAGUAAAUGCAUUUACCAGCAUACAUGUCAUGGAAGACUGACUCUGCACCAUGCUCUGUGACAAAAGGCUUCAAGAUUAAACCGCCCUUCUACCGUGAAGGUGAGCCGUGAAGUCUAUUGCCCAGGGAUUGGGGACGUUUGUAUUAAAGAAGGUUUUGGAGUACAGAAGCAGGAAGAUGUGUUGUGGAGAUGCUGUUGGCAGAAACAACUGGCCUUGACUAAACAAACCAAGAGUUCCUACAGGAGCAGAGGCAACCGGGUGAAGGCUGACGCCCUUGCACAGGCUUGGGCAGCUCUUCUCCACAUGUCCACGUGGCUCACUUCCUUACCUACUUCAGGGCUCUGCUCACACGUCACCUCCUCAAGAAGGCCUUCCCCAACUACCCUGUCCUCACUCCCACCCCUUACCCCUGCAUUCCCUGUCCCUCUCACUCUGCUGUGGUUUAUCCUACCUGACAUAGAACAGGUUUAUCUCCCUGUUGUCUAGCAGGCUUUUAUCCAGUUCUGCUUUGCCGGACUGUAUUAAGUAAGUCUCAGUUCCUGGGCUUUAUCACUCAGCAUGGGUGGAACACACGAAAAUGGGAUUUUCCUGUUCCCACUACAGCACUUUUCUUGUGGAUACCACAUCUCCCCAUGUGCAAUAUUCUAUUCCCAUCUCACUCUUACCUUGUGCAGAGCUAUUUUCUCAGAGCAUGAGUCUCUGAACGGAAAAUCUACUGCUUUGUGCCCUGCCUGAGGAUAAGCUUCACCAGAGCAGUCUAUAUUGUUGUUGCUGUUGUUGUUGUUUAUUGCUGUAUUCCUAGCUUCUAGAACAGUGCCUGGCAUGGCAAUCAGUGGCAUGAGUAAAUUUAUGAGUAUAUAUAAUGGACAAGUUUGGGAGAAGAUAAUUAGUUUGGAAACGGGAGAGUUUAGUGGGAGAGACAGGGCCCUGACUACCUCAAAAAGCAGCAGUACUAUAAGAGGACAGAGUUUCUAUUUUUCUGCCUGGUCUAGGACUUGUACUGGUCUUUCAACUUGAAUUCAUGCAGCAAGACAGUGGUGGUGAAAAGAUAAAGGCAUUUCUACCUGGGUAGACAGUUUCUUUUUCUGGAGACAAGAAUUGAGAAGGCCUACCAGAUUCUGGCAGUGAGUUGACUGUACUUGUUUUUAGCAUUGUGAAUUUUUGCCUUCAUAUGAAUUUAAGUAGGGAGUUUAGCAAUGCUGUUUCAGGGUUUCCAUCCAGAUUUUCCGUUUCAAAUUGGACAUCUAUUUGCACCUUUAAUUCGCGUAACAAAUACUUCACAGAGAAUACAAAGUUGAAUUAUGGGCAGCUCAAUUCAUCCCCCCAAAGGCAGACAAGAGAUGGCAGGUCCAAGUUAUGCCUAUAUUACACAGUAGAGAUUAUUUUAAGUGUUUUGUUAUUGCUUCCAAGUUCACACAAAUGCUUCUUACUAAUUUAUAUUGGUCACAUUCACUAUUCUUAUUUGGUACUCAUUAGUGACUUUGUACUCUCUUAAAGAAAAUAAACCUCCAGAUUAACUAAAACAUUUAAAUAUGAAU
rnacentral:lncRNA from 1 species